rnacentral:rRNA from 1 species
CGAGCGGCGAACGGGUGAGUAACACGUGAGCAACCUGCCCCUGACUCUGGGAUAAGCGGUGGAAACGCCGUCUAAUACCGGAUACGACCCGCCACCUCAUGGUGGAGGGUGGAAAGUUUUUCGGUCAGGGAUGGGCUCGCGGCCUAUCAGCUUGUUGGUGGGGUAACGGCCUACCAAGGCGAUUACGGGUAGCCGGCCUGAGAGGGCGACCGGCCACACUGGGACUGAGACACGGCCCAGACUCCUGCGGGAGGCAGCAGUGGGGAAUAUUGCGCAAUGGGCGAAAGCCUGACGCAGCGACGCCGCGUGGGGGAUGACGGCCUUCGGGUUGUAAACCUCUUUUACCACCAACGCAGGCUUCCAGUUCUCUGGAGGUUGACGGUAGGUGGGGAAUAAGGACCGGCUAACUACGUGCCAGCAGCCGCGGUAAUACGUAGGGUCCGAGCGUUGUCCGGAAUUAUUGGGCGUAAAGAGCUCGUAGGCGGCGUGUCGCGUCUGCUGUGAAAGACCGGGGCUUAACUCCGGUUCUGCAGUGGAUACGGGCAUGCUAGAGGUAGGUAGGGGAGACUGGAAUUCCUGGUGUAGCGGUGAAAUGCGCAGAUAUCAGGAGGAACACCGGUGGCGAAGGCGGGUCUCUGGGCCUUACCUGACGCUGAGGAGCGAAAGCAUGGGGAGCGAACAGGAUUAGAUACCCUGGUAGUCCAUGCCGUAA